GUAGUUUAUCUGCUUAUUAUUUUAUUGACUUUCUUAUUUAUUUGUCCUUUUCUAUAACAGGUAAACAUGCGGCCAAAAUUAAAUGGCUGAAUUGCCCACGUCACAAAUAGAUACUCUUAUAGAACUUUUGCAUGCAAAUUACCAAUCUCUGUUAGCAGUUAUUGAUUAAGCAACUCUACAAGGGAGGUACUAUCAUUCCCAUUUCAAAAGAGGAAACUGAGGCUCAGAUAUGUUAUCAGGCAGAUGUCAGCAACAGCUGUUAUACAAGAUAAAAGAGAACCUCUUUAUCAGCAGAUGAUUGCCUGAGUGGAUGCUGUGAUGUGCUACCCAGGAUCCUUUCUACAAUGCAGGAUGUACUUCCCCAGUAGCUGGGAGUCACCCACAGACAGCCCUACUGUGUGCCCUCCCUAAAAGUUAACUUCACCCGUGAACUGACUCUCCUCUCAGAGCAGCCCGCACCUAAGAACUGAGAGCUGUGGGAAUUGUAACUACCAGGCACCUCUCUCCACGUCGGGACAACUCUGAAGGGCCAUCCCUGUUUUAUAUUUACCAUGGGAUUAGCUGAAGACUCUCUUGUGACUGCCUUCCAACCCAGCGUCUCCAGGUGUACAAUCCUGUUUCUCUCCCUAUGUCCACAGGGACAUGUAAAUCUGGAGAUUUUCCCCCAAUAAGUGUCCUGCCAAGGAAUCUCCAUUCCACACUCUGCCUAUCUACCUGCAACUUGAUAUGUACAAUUUGCAGUUCAGGCCUCUUUGAGGGAGCUCUCCAGGACAUUACCUCUGAUUAAUAUUGGAAAGAUAUUCCUGUUUUAG